GACUCGGAGCGGAGUGGUCCAUGCGCACACAUUCCAUGAUGAAGUGUGUGGGUGUCCUGGUUCAACUCCAGGCUGGGUCA